CAAACAAUAACAGUUCAAAAUUUUGUAAACAAAAAAGUUACUAAAUUUAGGUAAAAUUGUUAAUUUCGCCAACUUCCACGCGUCUAAACCGCCAGAAAUUAUCAUUUUAGAUUAUUUGUUACAACAUUCAACU
ensembl:ncRNA F20D1.18 ncRNA